AUAUUGAGAAGAUGUACUGCUGUAAAUCAAGACUACCAGUUUGUGAGCUGAUAUGCAGUGGAAAUUGACAUCCAGAAGGAAGUCAUAGAGGAAACACCAGCUGAUGCAAGUGCUGCAGAAGAAUUCAAUCGAAUAUCAGGAAGAAAUGUCAUCUGGCAGCAGUUCUCCGGGGUCUUUCAGUCCUUUAGAGGGAUGAGUCUAAAGAAAUUUUCAGGAUGUGUUUUGAUGUAAUUGUAGAGUCGGACUUCAGUGCAGAAGAUGUUGGCCUGCUGACUGUCGUGUGUGAAGAUGUCUAAAGAACCUCAUUAUGGAUGCAAUGUGGGCCUUUAUACUGGAAGGAAAAGUGGAUAUGGACUUUGCCACAUGCAGUAUGUCUCUUUUUUUGCUUUGAUUUACACACUGAAUUCGGACUACCCAAAGACUUUGAGCAAUGCAUUUGAAUUUGUUCAACGUGUGUUGCUUUUGCUGGGAGGGAAGCGUAAUGUGUUUUAUUCGGCGAGUGCCUAUAUACUGCUGUGCUUUAUGUUUAAAGGUUCAGGUAUAAUGGCAUGUUUAAUUACAAAGUGUUGCUUUUUAACAUGUUGCUGUUUGCAGUGUUACAUUUAGGACUGCAGCAUUUUGGUGUUUAAAACACUUUUUUUUUUUUUUUUUUACCAAAAAAGUGUAUUGUGAUUUAUAGGGUUGUCAAAAGUAUUGAGUUUGGUACCAAUCUGUACUGAAAUAAAUAAAUAAAAAGUCCAUCCAUUUCCCACUAACAUUGCAAGAACUGAUUGGCCAUU
rnacentral:sRNA from 1 species